GGUUGUCAGAGUAACUUGGGUGCAGUCACAGAGCCUGGGUCAGGAUGAGAAACAGUUCCAUCUAACUUCAGAACAUGUACUAGUAACCAUUCUGAUUCAUCAGUAGAAGAGAUGGGUGCUGAGGAGUAGGGUGGCCCACUCAGAACCCAGGAAUCCUUGAGACGUAGACACUUGCAGGAUCUCCAGAAGGCCGGCUUUGCUGCGCUGUGUCCUCACACAGGAUGUCAGCAGGGCCAACAUGAAUAACCAUAGUAGGAAGUGGGAAAUUAACUGUACAUUUUCUUCCAAGUGCUGCCCUCUCACCUCUCCUUGACCACUGAGGCAGUGAACUACUCAAGCCAAGAUUCCCCCCACUCCAAUCUGGCCCACAUCCCCUCCAAGCCGCAGUUUCUUAAAGAGAGCAUUUUCUUCACAUUGCUACUCAGGGACAGUAGCACCACUGCUCUCCAGUGGAGUCUUGACUUCUCUGCUUUGAGUUUGCAGCUGUUAUGGUUUAGAUCCAGGAUGUUGCCCUGCCCCCAGAUCAUCAUGAG
rnacentral:lncRNA from 1 species